rnacentral:rRNA from 1 species
UCAAGCUACAAAGGGCGUACGGCGAAUGCCUUGGCACUAGGAGGCGAAGAAGGACGUGAUAAGCUGCGAUAAGCUUUGGGUAGGAGCAAAUAUCCUGUGAUCCAGAGAUUUCCGAAUGGGGAAACCCACCAAAUUUAUUUGGUACUGUGUGGUGAAUACAUAGCCACAUGGAGCGAUACCCGGAGAACUGAAACAUCUAAGUACCCGGAGGAAGAGAAAGAAACAUCGAUUUCCUGAGUAGCGGCGAGCGAAAGGGAAAGAGCCCAAACCAGAGAUUUAUCUCUGGGGUUGCGGACCACUCAUCAGUGAUCAGACAAAUUUAACCGAAGAGUGCUGGAAAGCACUGCAAUAUAGGGUAAUAGCCCCGUAGGUGAAAAAUGAGUCUGCACGAGUGGCUCCAGAGUACCACGAGACACGUGAAACCUUGUGGGAAGCAGGGGGGACCACCCCCCAAGGCUAAAUACUACUUGGUGACCGAUAGCGAAUAGUACCGUGAGGGAAAGGUGAAAAGAACCCCGGAAGGGGAGUGAAAUAGAACCUGAAACCGUAUGCCUACAAUCGAUCAGAGCACCUUAUGUGUGUGAUGAUGUGCUUUUUGUAGAACGAGCCAACGAGUUACGAUAUGUUGCAAGGUUAAGGACUUAAGGUCCGGAGCCGAAGGGAAACCAAGUCUGAAUAGGGCGGCUAGUAGCAUGUCGUAGACCCGAAACCGGGUGACCUAUCCAUGGCCAGGUUGAAGCAAGGGUAAGACCUUGUGGAGGACCGAACCACGUUGCUGUUGAAAAAGCAUGGGAUGAGCUGUGGAUAGCGGAGAAAUUCCAAUCGAACUCGGAGAUAGCUGGUUCUCCUCGAAAUAGCUUUAGGGCUAGCGUCGGGUAAAAUAAGUGAUGGAGGUAGAGCACUGAAUGGGCUAGGGGGGCGCAAGCCUUACCGAACCUUAUCAAACUCCGAAUGCCAUACACUGGUACCCCGGCAGUCAGACUGCGAAUGAUAAGGUCCGUAGUCAAAAGGGAAAAAGCCCAGACCGUCAGCUAAGGUCCCUAAAUAUACGUUAAGUGGGAAAGGAUGUGGGAUUUCUAAGACAACUAGGAUGUUGGCUUAGAAGCAGCCAUUCAUUUAAAGAGUGCGUAAUAGCUCACUAGUCAAGAGAUCCUGCGCCGAAAAUGUAACGGGGCUCAAACGUAUUACCGAAGCUACGGAUUUGCACUUACGUGCAAGUGGUAGAGGAGCUUUCUAUAUGGGCUGAAGCUGUACCGGAAGGAGCAGUGGACUGUAUAGAAGUGAGAAUGUUGGCAUCAGUAGCGAGAAUUAAGUGAGAAUCUUAAUGGUCGAAAAUCUAAGGUUUCCACAGGAAGGUUCGUCCGCUGUGGGUUAGUCGGGACCUAAGCUGAGGCCGAAAGGCGUAGGCGAUGGACAAUCGGUUGAUAUUCCGAUACCGUCUUUAAACGUUAUUACCGAUGGGAUGACGCAGGAGGAUAGGAUGUCCCUCUUAUUGGAUUGAGGGCUAAGCACUGAGAGGUGUGCGUAGGAAAAUCCGCGCACUGUAACCUUGGGGUGUUAUGGCGAAGCCUUAUAGGCGAAGCAUCUGAUUUCACGCUGCCAAGAAAAGUCUCUAGGGAGGAUAAAGACGCCCGUACCGCAAACCGACACAGGUAGAUGAGGAGAGAAUCCUAAGACCAGCGGAAGAAUUACAGUUAAGGAACUCGGCAAAUUGACCCCGUAACUUCGGGAGAAGGGGUGCCUACGCAAGUAGGCCGCAGAGAAUAGGCCCAAGCAACUGUUUAGCAAAAACACAGGUCUCUGCUAAAGCGAAAGCUGAUGUAUAGGGGCUGACGCCUGCCCGGUGCUGGAAGGUUAAGGGGAUUAGUUAGGGUAACCGAAGCUAUGAACUUAAGCCCCAGUAAACGGCGGCCGUAACUAUAACGGUCCUAAGGUAGCGAAAUUCCUUGUCGGGUAAGUUCCGACCCGCACGAAUGGCGUAAUGAUUUGGGCACUGUCUCAACUGUAAAUCCGGCGAAGUUGUAGUGCCAGUGAAGAUGCUGGCUACCCGCGAUUGGACGGAAAGACCCCGUAGAGCUUUACUGUAGUUUAGCAUUGAGUUUCGGUAUUGUCUGUACAGGAUAGGUGGGAGACUAUGAAACUGGACCGUCAGGUUCAGUGGAGUCAUCCUUGGGAUACCACCCUGGCAUUACUGGAAUUCUAACAGGACACCAUGAAUCUGGUGACUGGACAUUGCUAGAUGGGCAGUUUGACUGGGGCGGUCGCCUCCUAAAAAGUAACGGAGGCGCUCAAAGGUUCGCUCGGCAUGGACGGAAACCAUGCUUCAGAGUGUAAACGCAUAAGCGAGCCUAACUGCGAGACCGACGGGUCGAGCAGUAACGAAAGUUGGAGUUAG